UUUCCGUAUGUGAACCUGCGGAAGGAUCAUUAACACGUUCCAAAACCAAUCAAACCAACCUGCGAACCCGUGAGAGCUUUUUUUAUAGCUUAGUUCGUUCUAACCUAUGAUUGAUGCCGAUCUUUAACUUUAUGGCAUUGGCGUAUCUACUCUAGUAGUAGUGCGUCCUAAUCCAUGUAGUUUGAUCACUCUUUUUAAACGCCCUUCAUUAACUACUGCUUGUCAGCCAGUUGACGAAUCAUAUCAUUUCAACUUCUACCAAUGCAGGUUGUGUCGAUCCAGCUGGUUUUUAUUAGCCCGACUACUGCUUGGUUGUAUCUAUAUAAAAUCUAAGAACAACUCUUAGCAAUGGAUAUCUUGGUUCUCGCCUCGAUGAAGAACGCAGC
rnacentral:misc_RNA from 1 species